rnacentral:lncRNA from 1 species
CGGCCCAUAAAAAGUCUUGGGAUCCAGUAGGCGAAGAACAUAUAAGGAAUUGUAUAACUCAGACCAAAUUUGAGAUUUCAGAUGAAUGUCAUAUAUUAUAAAAACCCAUUCCCUUAAGCUCAUUGAUUUUUUUUUUUUUUUUUUAAUUACAUAUAGGAUAUCUCAAAUUCAUUUAAAUAAUUUCUUUAUUUGACUAUGUUGAUAUUGCAACCUUUUCAAAAAACCUUUAAAAGGAUUGGGUAAUAACUCCAAUCCAAUAUCUGGAUAAUCCGUAUCACAUUUGUCUCUAAAAACAUUGUUUAUC